UACGAAGGGGGCUAGCGUUGUUCGGAAUUACUGGGCGUAAAGCGUGCGCAGGCGGCUUCUCAAGUCAGGGGUGAAAGCCCAGAGCUCAACUCUGGAAUUGCCUUUGAGACUGAGUGGCUUGAGUACGAGAGAGGUGAGUGGAAUUCCCAGUGUAGAGGUGAAAUUCGUAGAUAUUGGGAAGAACACCCGUGGCGAAAGCGGCUCUCUGGAACGGUACUGACGCUGAGACGCGAAAGCGUGGGGAGCGAACAGG
rnacentral:rRNA from 1 species